rnacentral:sRNA from 1 species
UAUUAGUUCUUCCAGUGACAGACAAUAAAUUGGUCAUUCUGGAAUCCUGCUGGCACUAAGACGCUCUGACAUGUAGGCUACAGUUAAGGGAAAGGAACAACUCUAAGACUACUGCUUAUAUAAAGUAUGAUGAUCUGACAUCAAGCGAUCAAGUCAAAAGACGAAGUACACAAUGACUCGCUCUACUCCAGUCCAUUACCUACUUCUUGGACUGAGUGGACUCCUCAUGUUUAGCCUUUUCGUUGCCUUGGUAUACCUUGUCUUCAGAGAGAAGCAGAAGGGCAAGCUUGCUCGCAAGCAAUAUUUACGGAGUUUGUUACAGAAAAGGAGGAAAGCCAUUAGUGGACGUCCCAGGGGACCAGAGAUCUCUUUCUCCGAUGAAAGCACCACGGAAUGGCGGAACACGUCCCCUCCGCUUACACCCCGCCAUGACACCGAGACACGGUCCUCUGGCCUCGAGGCCACUGACAACCAGAUGACAUUACCGUCUUGACUGCGUCUCUGGCCAUACGGCUGUUGCUCUACGUAGAUGUCUACAACUGGUGGACUGUGCUCUACGUCGAUAAGAGAUUUGUGCCUUUGGAAAACAUAUUGCCAUGACCUAUUUUUUUUUCAUCGAGUCCGUAACAGGAUAUGUGCCUACAUUCUUCGAAGCCAAUCUCUUAGCAAUGUGAACUAACAGUUAAACCCAAUGUAUCAAUUUACGGAUUAGUAUUGCUUCUCAAACAAUGACACAGUUGAUCAGUUUAUUCUAUGCUUACCGGUGACAAUGUUAAAAGUUAAUUCCAGGAUUAGAUCAGUAAUCAUAUUUUUCUUUAAAUAUGUUUUUCGAUGGUUACUUGUAUUUUAUAAAUAAGAAUCUGUAUUUGUAAAUAUGUAGAGGAAAAGGGGGUCAAUCUAACUAUUUAUUCAUGUCCCAGCUUUAUAACAAUAAAUAUCCCGAUACUGCAAAUGUACAAGGAUUAGAGACUUAGUUAUUGACAUCACAGUAGGAAAAUCUCUCAAAUAGUACCAGUAUACAGGAGAAUAGGUACCAACUGUAUGUAUACUUUGGUUGUGUUUAAAAGGUCAAAAUGUGUAGUAUGAGUGGGUAGGCUAAGUAUAAUAACGCCUCGGUUACUUGCAGCAGUGAUGGUAUGGCCAUCCAAGUCGGUUACUUGCAGCAGUGAUGGUAUGGCCAUCCAAGUCGGUUACUUGCAGCAGUGAUGGUAUGGCCAUCCAAGUCGGUUACUUGCAGCAGUGAUGGUAUGGCCAUCCAAGAUAUGGAAAGGCUUUUUCUUUCGAUUGUAUUACUAUCUUUAUUAAAUGAUCCGUACAUUUUGAAACUCUAACUGCAGCCAGUGUCAUUGCAUACUGCUAUUGUUCCUGGAGUUAAUCUUUAAUGCGUUUCACCAUUGACACAAAAUAGUGUUGUAGUGGAAGUACUUUUUUCUGCACUGGUCAACUUCCUCACAUGAAGCCUUCCUGGCAUGCUUACCACUUUUUUUUUGCUGUUUCUUCUGCACAGUUGAGAGAGCCUUCUUAUCAGCAUUGAAGAUCCUAAGAAAUUCAAAGUGUUCUUUUGUCAUGAUACUAACAAAAAAAAAGUGCUAAAUGCUGCCUUGUUAAAAGCAGUACUACGUGCAAGAAAUGUUGCUACAGGUUAUCGUAAGCUCAAAUUGUGACAUUUCUUAAAAUCUGUAAACCAGUUUUUUUCCUGUCAUUCCAUCUGUUUUAUUAAAGCUAUGAGGUAGGCCAUUUAUCACUGUUAUCUGGUACGCAAGACAUCUUAUGUGAUUUCUGGUCGUGCAAACAGCAUUCCUUCCAGCUGACUGAUGUUAACGACUGGUUCAUGCUCAAGCUCCACUGGAUGAACUAUCAUUCUACCUCCUUGAACUUUUUCAUCUGUCUUUCCAGAGUUGGUUUACAAAUGCCAUAAAGUCUAGACACUUUAUUUAUUCCACAUUUAUUCCCCAGUGCCUCUUAGGCCUUUAAUUGAUCCUCCUGGGACCAAGUUGCAUCUCUACCCCAGGAAAAAAAUUCGAAUGAAUGUAAAUGCUGAUUGAAGUGAUUGACAAAGUCUAUAUGUUGUUUUUUUUAUAUGAAAAUGUAGUCUAUUUAGGGUUAGGAGACAAUUUUUUAAAUAUCUACUGAUCUAGGUUAUGUUUAGUCCAGAUACUAAAUCUACUUGUAAUUUACUAUUCUAGUUUAGAGCUUUAGAUUUACUCAUAAGUUUCUAGAUCUAGAGCUUAAAAAAUAAGGUGUAGGUACCAGAUCUAGAUUAACUCGGCUAAAUAGUACCGUUUGUUGGGUUAGUACUACCGGUAUUUUAACCAUUGUGUCUAUGGUACUAUUUACCCAACUGAAACGCACGUACAUAACGGGACAUUUCGUUAAUAUGCUGCAAAAAAGAGUUGUACAAAGACAUUAUUUCUAAGAGGAAAAAUUGGUUAACAAUGCAAUACCUAA